rnacentral:rRNA from 1 species
GACGAACGCUGGCGGCGUGCCUAAUACAUGCAAGUAGAACGCUGAAACUUGGUGCUUGCACCGAGCGGAUGAGUUGCGAACGGGUGAGUAACGCGUAGGUAACCUGCCUAGUAGCGGGGGAUAACUAUUGGAAACGAUAGCUAAUACCGCAUAAGAGUAGAUGUUGCAUGACAUUUGCUUAAAAGGUGCAAUUGCACCACUACCAGAUGGACCUGCGUUGUAUUAGCUAGUUGGUGGGGUAACGGCUCACCAAGGCGACGAUACAUAGCCGACCUGAGAGGGUGAUCGGCCACACUGGGACUGAGACACGGCCCAGACUCCUACGGGAGGCAGCAGUAGGGAAUCUUCGGCAAUGGACGGAAGUCUGACCGAGCAACGCCGCGUGAGUGAAGAAGGUUUUCGGAUCGUAAAGCUCUGUUGUAAGAGAAGAACGAGUGUGAGAGUGGAAAGUUCACACUGUGACGGUAGCUUACCAGAAAGGGACGGCUAACUACGUG